rnacentral:rRNA from 1 species
AGCAUGUGUGUUAGUGGAAGCGUCUGGAAAGGUGCGCGAUACAGGGUGACAGCCCCGUACACAAAAGCGCAUGUGCUGUGAGCUCGAUGAGUAGGGCGGGACACGUGGUAUCCUGUCUGAAUAUGGGGGGACCAUCCUCCAAGGCUAAAUACUCCUGACUGACCGAUAGUGAACCAGUACCGUGAGGGAAAGGCGAAAAGAACCCCGGCGAGGGGAGUGAAAAAGAACCUGAAACCGUGUACGUACAAGCAGUGGGAGCACAGGUUUACCUGUGUGACUGCGUACCUUUUGUAUAAUGGGUCAGCGACUUAUAUUCUGUAGCAAGGUUAACCGUAUAGGGGAGCCGGAGGGAAACCGAGUCUUAAUUGGGCGUUAAGUUGCAGGGUAUAGACCCGAAACCCGGUGAUCUAGCCAUGGGCAGGUUGAAGGUUGGGUAACACUAACUGGAGGACCGAACCGACUAAUGUUGAAAAAUUAGCGGAUGACCUGUGGCUGGGGGUGAAAGGCCAAUCAAACCGGGAGAUAGCUGGUUCUCCCCGAAAGCUAUUUAGGUAGCGCCUCGUGAAUUCAUCUCCGGGGGUAGAGCACUGUUUCGGCUAGGGGGCCAUCCCGGCUUACCAACCCGAUGCAAACUGCGAAUACCGGAGAAUGUUAUCACGGGAGACACACGGCGGGUGCUAACGUCCGUCGUGAAGAGGGAAACAACCCAGACCGCCAGCUAAGGUCCCAAAGUCAUGGUUAAGUGGGAAACGAUGUGGGAAGGCCCAGACAGCCAGGAUGUUGGCUUAGAAGCAGCCAUCAUUUAAAGAAAGCGUAAUAGCUCACUGGUCGAGUCGGCCUGCGCGGAAGAUGUAACGGGGCUAAACCAUGCACCGAAGCUGCGGCAGCGAACGUAUCACCCAAGACAACUUUACGGAGUUGACGAUUGACGGAGCGAAGCGACGUCAAAGCGUUCAUUAAAGUCGAGUUGGCUUAGGGAUACGUUCGUUGGGUAGGGGAGCGUUCUGUAAGCCUGUGAAGGUGUGUCGUGAGGCAUGCUGGAGGUAUCAGAAGUGCGAAUGCUGACAUAAGUAACGAUAAAGCGGGUGAAAAGCCCGCUCGCCGGAAGACCAAGGGUUCCUGUCCAACGUUAAUCGGGGCAGGGUGAGUCGACCCCUAAGGCGAGGCCGAAAGGCGUAGUCGAUGGGAAACGGGUUAAUAUUCCCGUACUUGGUGUUACUGCGAAGGGGGGACGGAGAAGGCUAUGUUGGCCGGGCGACGGUUGUCCCGGUUUAAGCGUGUAGGUGUGUGUUCCAGGUAAAUCCGGUUCACUUUAACACUGAGGCGUGACGACGAGGCACUACGGUGCUGAAGCAACAAAUGCCCUGCUUCCAGGAAAA